UACAGAGGCCCCAAGCGUUACUGAGAAUCACUGGGUUUAAAGGGUGCGUAGGUGGCGCGUUAAGUCCGUUGUGAAGUCCCCGGGCUCAACCCAGGAAAUGCUUCGGAUACUGGCGUGCUUGAGGCUAGUAGGGGUCACUGGAACUGACGGUGGAGCGGUGAAAUGCGUAGAUAUCGUCAGGAACGCCAAUGGUGAAGACAGGUGACUGGGCUAGAUCUGGCACUGAGGCACGAAAGCGUGGGGAGCGAACGGG
rnacentral:rRNA from 1 species